AUGCAAGUCGAACGAUGAACCCCGCUUGCGGGGGGAUUAGUGGCGAACGGGUGAGUAACACGUGAGUAACCUGCCCUUAACUCUGGGAUAAGCCUUGGAAACGGGGUCUAAUACUGGAUAUUGACUUUUCCUCGCAUGGGGAUUGGUUGAAAGAUUUAUUGGUUUUGGAUGGACUCGCGGCCUAUCAGCUUGUUGGUGAGGUAAUGGCUCACCAAGGCGACGACGGGUAGCCGGCCUGAGAGGGUGACCGGCCACACUGGGACUGAGACACGGCCCAGACUCCUACGGGAGGCAGCAGUGGGGAAUAUUGCACAAUGGGCGAAAGCCUGAUGCAGCGACGCCGCGUGAGGGAUGACGGCCUUCGGGUUGUAAACCUCUUUCAGUAGGGAACAAGGCCAGUGUUUAGCUGGUUGAGGGUACUUGCAGAAGAAGCGCCGGCUAACUACGUGCCAGCAGCCGCGGUAAUACGUAGGGCGCAAGCGUUAUCCGGAAUUAUUGGGCGUAAAGAGCUCGUAGGCGGUUUGUCGCGUCUGCCGUGAAAGUCCGGGGCUCAACCCCGGAUCUGCGGUGGGUACGGGCAGACUAGAGUGAUGUAGGGGAGACUGGAAUUCCUGGUGUAGCGGUGAAAUGCGCAGAUAUCAGGAGGAACACCGAUGGCGAAGGCAGGUCUCUGGGCAUUAACUGACGCUGAGGAGCGAAAGCAUGGGGAGCGAACAGGAUUAGAUACCCUGGUAGUCCAUGCCGUAAACGUUGGGC
rnacentral:rRNA from 1 species